UUCUACUAUGCGAUUAUGAUCUUGCCUUCUUUUGAAGCUGCAAAAGGACAGGUCACUGGUAACCAGAUGAAUUCUAGUUGUGCAGGAAGAUGCCUCGUUCUCCUCACUUCAUCCAAGGGAGCCCUCCUGAAAGACCUGACAAAGUGGCUGAUAAAUCUUCCGUCUAAAUGGCAGAUUCCAAACAAUAGAGCCAGCACAAGUUCGUCAGAGCCGGAAAUAUAAUAUGCCCUCUCGGUCUCGGUGCUCUCUUGUAAAAGAUGGUACACACAUAUGCUGACAGUGGAGUGACUUUUAAGAAACUUGGAGCCCUGCACGAGGAAGAAAAUGAGGCUCUGGGCUUUCUCCCAGUUGCUCAGGUAUGCCACUGAGUCACACAGCGGUCAGCAUGCCUGGCGACAGGCCAUGUGUGGCCCCUGAAUUGUGAAGCUCUCUUAAUUUACUCCUAAAUCUUGAUUUUUCUCGAAGCAGUUCUUUCCCUUGAAGGGAUCUUUUAAUUACCAUCCUCUGGACUAACCAACCAAGCUGCAAAACCCUGAAAGCAGCUGAGAGAGUCUUCCUUCCACGACCAUCAAGUGCAGCCUCAGCACGUUUCCCUGCCUAUGGAAGCAGUUUCUGUCAGCCGCUUCCUGCCAAAGCCCUGCGCUGAACGGAGGUUGUUGUUUCUGAUGCCACUUCAUGAUCCCAAAGAACAGAAAACUUUAAAUAAAGGGAAUA